ACCCCAACUGUGUCAACCACUCAAACAACAGAGCUGACUGGCUUAAAAGUACUUUGGGCUGUUUGUUGGUUUUGCGCCCCUAGAAGAACUCAAACGACUGCAUGGAAACUUCUCAGUGGUGGAUGUCCUGCCUAUGCUGAGCCCCAGGCAGCUGGGGGAGGUGGCCUCCACCCCUGGUCAGCUCAGAAACCCUGGAGAUGUCCAUGAUACUGAUUCAUGUGCUUCCCAGAGAUCUGGGCGAGUUCUUUGACAUCGUUUCUCCAGCUGUUGAGGGUCUUCACCUUCCGGUGGAUGUGCGUCAGGUGCUGCUCCAGCAGGUGUUUGACAAUGCCAACCUCAAAGACCCUGAGGUGCUGGUGUGGUUGGGCCAGAGACUCCACCCACUUUUACCCAACCUAACAGAUGAGCAUGUGGCCCCCCUCUUCAACAUCGUCAGACACAGAGACUGCAACACCAGCCAAGAAACAGUGGCGUUGUUGAACUCUAUCCUACCAUCACUGUCCAACGGCACACAGGCUGCUGUCCAGUAUCAAAUAAUCAUGUCUCUCAGAGAAUCAACUCCACUACGUUGCUAUAGGAACAACAGCUUCUUCAUGUUCCUGAGACAAUCCUUCCUCAACUUUACAUUCCCAAAGUUGACCAACUUCCUCUCCCUUAUUCCACCACAGCGGGAAUAUGAGCUGCUCAACACCAUGCAUCCCUCAGAGCUCGGCACCUUCCUCAGGAAGCCAGAGGUGGUGGACAACAAGACUAAGCUCUGCACAAUCUUCCGAAACUACAAAGAAACUCCAGAGUUCUUGGAAACCGAGAAUCUUCCGGAUGACGUGAAGCGUCCAGUCCUGCCCUGCGUCUGGCCUUUGGUUCUGGCCACUGAUGACAAGGCUGAGGUUGACCGCUGGUUUGACAACAGACUGAGGAACUACCUGAAACCUGGUCCAAUCCUCUGACACACUCCACGCCUCCUGCUUACCCUUCAGGAGACU
rnacentral:lncRNA from 8 species